rnacentral:rRNA from 1 species
AUUGAACGCUGGCGGCAUGCCUUACACAUGCAAGUCGAACGGUAACAGGUCUUCGGAUGCUGACGAGCGGCGAACGGGUGAGUAAUACAUCGGAACGUGCCUAGUAGGGGGGGAUAACUACUCGAAAGAGUGGCUAAUACCGCAUGAGAUCUACGGAUGAAAGCAGGGGAUCGCAAGACCUUGUGCUACUAGAGCGGCCGAUGGCAGAUUAGGUAGUUGGUGGGAUAAAAGCUUACCAAGCCGACGAUCUGUAGCUGGUCUGAGAGGACGAUCAGCCACACUGUGACUGAGACACGGCCCAGACUCCUACGGGAGGCAGCAGUGGGGAAUUUUGGACAAUGGGCGCAAGCCUGAUCCAGCAAUGCCGCGUGCAGGAUGAAGGCCUUCGGGUUGUAAACUGCUUUUGUACGGAACGAAAAGCCCUGGGUUAAUACCCUGGGGUCAUGACGGUACCGUAAGAAUAAGCACCGGCUAACUACGUGCCAGCCGCCGCCGUAAAAC